AACGAACGCUGGCGGCAUGCCUAACACAUGCAAGUCGAACGAGACCUUCGGGUCUAGUGGCGCACGGGUGCGUAACGCGUGGGAACCUGCCCUUAGGUUCGGAAUAACUCCCCGAAAGGGGUGCUAAUACCGGAUAAUGUCUUCGGACCAAAGAUUUAUCGCCAUUGGAUGGGCCCGCGUUGGAUUAGCUAGUUGGUAGGGUAAAAGCCUACCAAGGCGACGAUCCAUAGCUGGUCUGAGAGGAUGAUCAGCCACACUGGGACUGAGACACGGCCCAGACUCCUACGGGAGGCAGCAGUGGGGAAUAUUGGACAAGGGGCGAAAGCCUGAUCCAGCAAUGCCGGGUGAGUGAUGAAGGCCUUAGGGUUGUAAAGCUCUUUUACCCGGGAUGAUAAUGACAGUACCGGGAGAAUAAGCUCCGGCUAACUCCGUG
rnacentral:rRNA from 1 species